rnacentral:lncRNA from 1 species
UUUGAUAUCUAUACAUUUGUGUCUAGCAUGACCGUGAGUCUUAAAUUGCUAAGGUGUUGUAUUCUUAAAUGAUGCUUAUGACAACUUGGUUGAAGAUCAUUAAAAUUGAGCAAGUAAUUGUUAUGACUAAACAUGGAUAUUAAUUGCGUUAAGUAGAAAUUGAAUAAGUUUGGUUAUAGCUGGAUCUCCCUUACCGGGAUAGUUGAUU